CGGUCUCCUAUUGUACUUGGCUUUUGAAUUUUCGCUUUUGCAGCACAAAGGUAGGGCUGGGAAAGGAGGCUGCCGAACCGUGCUUGUUUUCGCUCAGAUAAACGUGAGAAAAAGUGGAGGUGAGGAAGCCAGUGUAGGCAAAUAGCGAGAGGGGAGAAGACAGAAAGGUACCGAAGGUCGACCUUUUUUAGGUAUCUUAUCCAAGUUAUUGAGGGGAAUGGGUAUUUAGCCAGUUUUUUGUUUGUUUGUUUUUAUCCGAAUAUCCAGUGUGUGUCUUGAAUGUGUGAAUGUGACGUGUUUAUAAAGCUCAGUAAGCUUAAAAUUCCGUGCCAAUACAUUUUGUAUGCCGCAGACAGGAAGUGCUUUGGAAGACCCUUGAAAGGGGAGGUGAUUUUACACCAAUAUUGAGAUCAUUUUGUCAGAGUCGUGGGACUAAAGGUAGACCUUAGGUAGUCGAUGUCAAAGAUAAGCGCAGCUGGACGUUAAAGCGGUGAAAACAUUCAGUUAACUACUGACAGGAAAGAGCUGAGCUCUAUUUCGAUUCGUGCAGAGAUCAUCUGGGCAUUUUUAAAGGGACGUUUUAAAAGGAGAAAGGGGAUAUGCGGGCGCUCAGUAGAGAAAGUGAACCUACAGAGUUGUUAGUGUAAAUGUGAUUAGGCCAGCUGUGUGUUUGUGUGUGCGCGCGUUUUAACAGUUACCGCAGGAUUCUAUCCUCCUACGGAGGAUUUUAUCCUUCUCGAUUACAUUUCAAAGGAAUGACUCUCUGGUCCUUGAGAGAGAACUUCUGAGUGGCAAGAAAUAAGUCUUUACAAUUGCAAGCCCUUUAGUAAACGUUCUAAGAAAGGGAUGUCAGAGACCUAUCAUCAGUUGUGUGCUGGUUACAUCACGUAGUUAAGCUUUCUGAGGCAGUCGCCCUGGGCACAGGGCCUUAUGCUGCUAAAGCUUGCUAGAGUUUGGUCAAGUCUCUGAACGCAGGGGUUUAGAUGGGAUGGUCAUGUUCCUGGAGUUCUGCAGUGGUCAUAGGUAUGAUUUGAAUAAGUACAGGGAAUAUUCUAGUCGGAGGAACAGAAUGUGCCAACGCGCCGAACAGGGAGGAUAGUUUUACGAUACGGAGAUGUGUAUGAUAGGGAAUAAGUGGGAGCCCAGUUUGGACUAAUUGGAAGAAGUCAUUAUUAGAAGUACUGUAUUUAAUUCUAGUUUGUUAUAAAAUGAGACUCCAAGAUCACUGAGCCAUUUCACUGAGACUCCAAGAUCACCCCAAUGCUAGGCUAAUCUCCAUGGCGCCUAGAUCUAUGCCCACUCCAUUCCCCAUGUUGGUCCCCAUAGUUUCAGGCACCAGGCUCCAACACCAGGUUGGGCCCUACAGCCCCAGUCUCCAGGUUGGCACCAGUGGAUAUAGGCUUUAGGUCCACUGACUGCUGGUCCCUACAGCCCCAGGUUCCAGUGAACCCAGGUUCCAGGCCUGCUCCAACAAACCCAAGGUCCAGGUCUACCCCAGUAGACCCUGGCACCAGAACUACCCCAGAGGGCCUAGCCUACAGGCUACCACCCACAAACCCAGCCUCCAUGAUGGCCUCUGAAGAAUCAGGCUUUAGGUCUUCCCCAGCACCAGACUAGACUGCUAGACUGAUGUUCCACUUUUGUCCCCAUGGACCCAGGCACCAGGCCCAUCUGAGAGGUUUCUUCAGUUUUAUUUUUCAG
rnacentral:lncRNA from 10 species